UUGAAAUGAUGAGCUACGCUUCAGGUCCGUGUUUUUGACACUUCUUGAUAUCAAUUGAAGUUCUGAUCAU
ensembl:snoRNA SNORD18 Small nucleolar RNA SNORD18